GACGAACGCUGGCGGCGUGCUUAACACAUGCAAGUCGAACGGAAAGGCCCUGCUCUUGUGGGGCGCUCGAGUGGCGAACGGGUGAGUAACACGUGAGUAACCUGCCCUUGACUUUGGGAUAACUUCAGGAAACUGGGGCUCAUACCGGAUAGGAGCUCCUGCUGCACGGUGGGGGUUGGAAAGUUUCGGCGGUUGGGGAUGGACUCGCGGCUUAUCAGCUUGUUGGUGGGGUAGUGGCUUACCAAGGCUUUGACGGGUAGCCGGCCUGAGAGGGUGACCGGGCACCUUGGGACUGAGGUACGGCCCAGACGCCUACGGGAGGCAGCAGUGGGGAAUAUUGCACAAUGGGCGGAAGCCUGAUGCAGCAGCGCCGGGUGCGGAAUGACGGCCUUCGGGUGGUAAACCGCUUUCGCCUGUGACAAAGCGUGAGUGACGGUAAUGGGUAAGGAAGCACCGGCUAACUACGUG
rnacentral:rRNA from 1 species